rnacentral:rRNA from 1 species
AGUGAACGCUGGCGGUAGGCCUAACACAUGCAAGUCGAACGGCAGCACAGUAAGAGCUUGCUCUUACGGGUGGCGAGUGGCGGACGGGUGAGGAAUACAUCGGAAUCUACUUUUUCGUGGGGGAUAACGUAGGGAAACUUACGCUAAUACCGCAUACGACCUACGGGUGAAAGCAGGGGAUCUUCGGACCUUGCGCGAUUGAAUGAGCCGAUGUCGGAUUAGCUAGUUGGCGGGGUAAAGGCCCACCAAGGCGACGAUCCGUAGCUGGUCUGAGAGGAUGAUCAGCCACACUGAAACUGAGACACGGUCCAGACUCCUACGGGAGGCAGCAGUGGGAAAUAUUGGACAAUGGGCGCAAGCCUGAUCCAGCCAUACCGCGUGGUGAAGAAGGCCUUCGGGUUGUAAAGCCCUUUUGUUGGGAAAGAAAAGCAGCAGGUUAAUACCCCGCUGUUCUGACGGUACCCAAAGAAUAAGCACCGGCUAACUUCGUG